AGCGGCGGACGGGUGAGUAAUGCCUGGGAAAUUGCCCUGAUGUGGGGGAUAACCAUUGGAAACGAUGGCUAAUACCGCAUGAUGCCUACGGGCCAAAGAGGGGGACCUUCGGGCCUCUCGCGUCAGGAUAUGCCCAGGUGGGAUUAGCUAGUUGGUGAGGUAAUGGCUCACCAAGGCGACGAUCCCUAGCUGGUCUGAGAGGAUGAUCAGCCACACUGGAACUGAGACACGGUCCAGACUCCUACGGGAGGCAGCAGUGGGGAAUAUUGCACAAUGGGCGCAAGCCUGAUGCAGCCAUGCCGCGUGUAUGAAGAAGGCCUUCGGGUUGUAAAGUACUUUCAGUCGUGAGGAAGGGGGUAUCGUUAAUAGCGGUAUUCUUUGACGUUAGCGACAGAAGAAGCACCGGCUAACUCCGUGCCAGCAGCCGCGGUAAUACGGAGGGUGCGAGCGUUAAUCGGAAUUACUGGGCGUAAAGCGCAUGCAGGUGGUUUGUUAAGUCAGAUGUGAAAGCCCGGGGCUCAACCUCGGAGUUGCAUUUGAAACUGGCAGGCUAGAGUACUGUAGAGGGGGGUAGAAUUUCAGGUGUAGCGGUGAAAUGCGUAGAGAUCUGAAGGAAUACCGGUGGCGAAGGCGGCC
rnacentral:rRNA from 1 species